rnacentral:rRNA from 1 species
UACGGGGGGGGCAAGCGUUUGUUCGGAAUUACUGGGCGUAAAGGGCUCGUAGGCGGCCAACUAAGUCAGACGUGAAAUCCCUCGGCUUAACCGGGGAACUGCGUCUGAUACUGGAUGGCUUGAGUUCGGGAGAGGGAUGCGGAAUUCCUGGUGUAGCGGUGAAAUGCGCAGAUAUCAGGAGGAACACCAAUGGCGAAGGCAGCUCACUGGGACGGUAUUGACGCUGAGACGCGAAAGCGUGGGGAGCAAACAGG